rnacentral:rRNA from 1 species
UACGUAGGGGGCAAGCGUUGUCCGGAUUUAUUGGGCGUAAAGAGCGUGUAGGCGGCCCUGUAGGUCCGUUGUGAAAACUCGAGGCUCAACCUCGAGACGCCGAUGGAAACCAUGUGGCUAGAGUCCGGAAGAGGAGAGUGGAAUUCCUGGUGUAGCGGUGAAAUGCGCAGAUAUCAGGAAGAACACCCGUGGCGAAGGCGGCUCUCUGGGACGGUACUGACGCUGAGACGCGAAAGCGUGGGGAGCGAACAGG